UGCCGAUUGACGCGUCGGUGAUGGUAUAAUGUCGUGAUCAAUAACCAAUCGGUAAUGGUAUAAGGCAGCAGUGAUUUUUUUCCAUCAGCUAGUUGGCAACUUCUGCAAAAGCCGAAUGGACAACAUCCGCAGGUCAUGCUGUUCCGUGUCCCCUCUGUCACGAUCGCACAGGUUUGACACAUCUCCAAACCAAAUCAAAUUUGAAUUGCGCAUAUUCUCGCAUCACAGAAUGUGGUCGACAACCCUUUAAUACAUUUGAAAAUCUAAGGUUUUUUAUAUCAUCUCAUUGGCUGUGUAUAUUCUGAUGAUUGGCGUUUGUGGUUAAACCAAAGUCAAACUGGCUGAUUGAUAUAUCUGACUGAUAAAAACAUGAAGGUAGUAUACGCAUAACGGAAUAAAUGCGCUUAAGUCGUGCGGGAUUGACGUUCUGUAUAGAGAUCGUUGUCGUAUAAUAUUUGCUUAGUUUUUUGCUACAAGCAGUCAAGCAAAAAAACGGCAACG